rnacentral:rRNA from 1 species
UACGAAGGGGGCUAGCGUUGCUCGGAAUCACUGGGCGUAAAGCGCACGUAGGCGGCUUUUUAAGUCAGAGGUGAAAUCCUGGAGCUCAACUCCAGAACUGCCUUUGAUACUGGAGAGCUUGAGUCCGGGAGAGGUGAGUGGAACUGCGAGUGUAGAGGUGAAAUUCGUAGAUAUCGGAAGGAACACCUGUGGCGAAAGCGGCUCACUGGACCAUUACUGACGCUGAUGCACGAAAGCUAGGGGAGCAAACAGG